rnacentral:rRNA from 1 species
AACGAACGCUGGCGGCAUGCCUAACACAUGCGAGUCGAACGAGACCUUCGGGUCUAGUGGCGCACGGGUGCGUAACGCGUGGGAACCUGCCCUUAGGUUCGGAAUAACUCCCCGAAAGGGGUGCUAAUACCGGACAAUGUCUUCGGACCAAAGAUUUAUCGCCUUUGGAUGGGCCCGCGUUGGAUUAGCUAGUUGGUAGGGUAAAAGCCUACCAAGGCGACGAUCCAUAGCUGGUCUGAGAGGAUGAUCAGCCACACUGGGACUGAGACACGGCCCAGACUCCUACGGGAGGCAGCAGUGGGGAAUAUUGGACAAUGGGCGAAAGCCUGAUCCAGCAAUGCCGCGUGAGUGAUGAAGGCCUUAGGGUUGUAAAGCUCUUUUACCCGGGAUGAUAAUGACAGUACCGGGAGAAUAAGCUCCGGCUAACUCCGUG